UGGCAAUAAUAUGCUUCCUGAAAAAGAGGUAGAAAGGCAGGAAGAGAAGGCUAUGGGUCAUUUUCUCAGAGGCAGAAGAGAUGAGAAGAUUAUCUAUCUUGCUGUUUAAGCUCUAGUGGAUGGCUAGACGGGAAGCACCAAAUGAUCUGGUUCAAUUCAACAGCUUAAAAUAAUUAACAUUUAUUGUUCUUCAGAUGUUGCCUAAAGGAGUUACAUGAGCCAGAUCUGGGGUAGACUACAAAGCUAGGGCUCACCAGCUUUUUUAGGUCAGUUUUUUCCACUAUUUGUCCUAUUCCACUUUGAACUCUUCAGAGUUGUCUAGAACUGCUCCCUGCUCCACAAAAACACUUCUAUGGAUCUACCUUGAGUUUCCAUUGGGACUUUUCCUUUGAAUUGGAAAAAGACAACUUAUUCUGCUGCCUUUACUUCCAUUUUAGUACUUGGAGUACUAAAAUGUACUCCAAGAUGCACUCAGGUGGGCAUUAAAAGAAGUACUGUAGUGGUGGUCACUCUGGGGACUAAGACUGAGGGUGGGCCUUUGUCCCUGGCCUAGAAGGAUGGUCUUAAGAAUUGGAAGACAUGACAUAAGGGGCAUUAGUAGGCCUUUCAAACUCAGAAGUGCCUGAUCUGACCUGAACUGGCCUCCCUUCCUCACUAGCCUAAUUUUUCAAAAAUUGUCAUUCCCUGGUUUAGACAAAAAGGUAGCCCACAUCAAGAUUAUUCCAACCCAUUUAGAUUUAUGAUUAGAUGAAAUAAUAACAAUAUGUGUCCCAGAGGCAUAAUAAGGCAUUGGCAGAAUAAGUGGGUUAUACUGGGUCAUGACAAGCAUUUCAGUUUCAUUGGGUCUGCCUUUAUUUCUAAAAAAAAAAAAAACUAGUAAAAGUCCAAAAUACAUAUACCUAUACAUAUUUACAUAUUAUACAUAACAGUGCUUCUUCCUGCCUUACCAUCACCCUCUUCCUACUUGUCCAGAAUUAGGUUGCCAACUGGCCAGCAUUUGAUCAUCUUGGCUGAUAUUUUAUCAGAGAAACUUGCUGCUGUCACUAAAGACUGCAGUUAACCAUUUG
rnacentral:lncRNA from 1 species